ACACGUACACCACAGUUCACCCUUCUGUUCCUCAGUUGAUGUAACCUUAGGCCGCCUCCAUCUGUUGGCAAUCAUGAAUAAUGCCACUAUAAACACCAUGUAUGCUUUUAAAUUCAAACUUUAACCCUUUUCUUGUGCUCCCCAUCAUUUGUCCAGGAGGGGCACAGGCUGGUAAAUUGACAAAGCUGCCAAUUCUCUCUCCUUUUUUUAACUUUUCUUCUAAUAAAAACCUCCAGAUGUGUUGUUCUUUUUAUGUGAUGAUAACCACUGCCAUUUCAACAAUUGGCUGAUGUUCUGUGCAACUUGAUGCCUCAGUUCCAUAUAAUAACCAUCCUCCCUUUUGUUUGCUGCUGAUUGAUUGCUUUCCAUCUUCUGCUCAUGAUCUCAGGGAAGUCUGACUUUAUUUCAUUGUUUGUAAGGCAAGCAUUAUCUUCCCUUCCUUGUUACACACCAUAGUGGUCCUGGCCCAUUUUGCUUUGGCAACCAGGGGUACAUAGCACUACUGAGCUUUGUGGCUGUCUAAGGAGGUGAGUAAUGGUGAUACUGGGUAUUUCCUUUUACCCUGGCACCAGGAGGGGCAGACUUCCCUCAGGAACAAAUGGGCCGAAAGAAACUGAAGCCAAGCAUUGAGAAGGGAAAAGCUUACAGAUCCAGCUUAAUGCCCUAAGUUUUCAAUACCAGAAUAGUUUUAUUAGACCCUCUCAAUGUUAGGAAAGGGUGGGGGAAAAACCCUGAUACUUUAUGAGACACUUUGCCUCUAUUCUCUCAUUUCAUGUAGAAUCUCUCCUUUCUGUGGGGAAAUGGCUGCUUAUUUCUUAUACAAGAAAGAAUUGCUUCAUAAAAUGAAAAUCUUAAUAGAAAAUGUGUGCCAGAGGCUUUCCCCUGCAAAACAUAAAGUUUUAGAAAAACUCUCUUGAGUGAUGACAGUGCCGUAUCUUAAAAUAGAGCCUGAAGGCAAAAUCUCACAAGUUUUCCUAAAAAGAAUAAAUCUUGUCAAUUAUCUGAAAGAUGCCUGGAAAGCAUAUUACAUUAAAUAUGGCUUAAUGAUGGGCAUGGAGCAGAUGCCAGCCAACCUGCUGACAUCCUCCUCCCUGUAGGGUUAGGAAAGAAUGAGUACAAGAACCACAGCCUCUUCUUGGAGACGGUGUCUUGUGGCUGAUUUUUAGCCUUGAGAAGGGGAGAGUCAUGGAGUUCAGAUCUUGGGAAGCUGAGAGUGUGAAUCCAACUUUGGCACCUGAUCUCAGAAACAGGAAGUACUUACAGGUGCUGUAGCCUUUUAAGACAGAUCCACAUAGUGACAGACUGUCAGAGGUGGAAGGGCUGGGAACCAAGGGGCCCUCAAGAGUCAAUAACCAUGCAGGUCACACACGUUGCCAGUGACAGCAUGACCACUUGAACCUGUAUCCUGAUUUGCCUUGUGAAACUCCUCUCACGAAGGCACAUUGCUUUGAAUCAUUUUUCUUAUUCACCUAAGGAUAAGAAAUAAGAGUAAGAAAUCUUACAUUCUGCUGCUCCCUAUUUAUUAGCAAGAACUUGAAAUGAUUGAACCCUGAAUUAUAUAAAAUGAGAUUGAUUUGAGCCUCCCUGGGAUCUAAUACAUAGAAUCCUGUAUAAGGGUUUUGAAUAAUGCAUGUACCAGAAGGACCUCAUUAAAAUAAAAUCUCAUCCCUAUCUUGGACAUUUGAUGGCCAACCCAAGAACCAUUCAUCCAGUAAACAUGCCCAUUUCUGCCCUCUUUUCUCCAUCUCUUCUGGCAAAGUCUGGUUCAUGCCACCAAAACCCUUUUUUUUUAAAUUCAAUUUUAUUGAGACAUAUUCGCAUCCAUACAAUCAUCCGAAGUGUACAAUCAGUUGUUCACAGUAUCCUCAUAUAGUUGCAUGUUCAUUACCACAAUCAAUUUUUGAACAUUUUCAUUACUCCAAAAAGAAAAAAAAGUAAAAAAUAACACCCAAAAUGUCUCAUCCCCCUGCUCCCUAACUAUUAUUCAUUUACUUUUUGUCCCCAUUUUUCUACUUAUCUGUCCCUACCACCAAAACCUUUUAACCAGAUGAUUACAACAGCCUCCAAAAGGGCUGUUUGGUUUCCAUUCUUGCCCUCCUAAAAUCCAUUCCUAAUGGGUGGUCCAAGUCAUGCCCCUGCCUCAAACUCUUCCAAGCCUCCCACUGUGUUUAAUGUCUGAUCCAAAAAUCCAAAUCCCUUCCCGUGCUUGCAAGACUCUGUAAACUGCUCACUGUUUUUGCCACACUGGCCAUGUCUGUGCCAGCACUCAAGGACUCAAAGGACUCCUGUCUUUUCUCUUUCCCCAUUGGGAUCCUCCCUGGUUCUCUGCAUGGCUAGCUCCUUGGUUUUCAGGGCUAAGCUCAGAUGUCACCUUUCCUGUUAGAACUGCCCUGGCCAUCCUGCCAAGGAUAUUUCCUUACUUUCAGUUACUUCAGCCUGUUUUAUUUAUUGAUACUUAAGAAUUGUAGCUAACAUUUACUAAGUCCUUACCACAUACCAGGAUCUCUUUAUGGGUUAUCUCAUUUAGUACAGACUGUAACUUCAUGUGGUAGGAACCUCACAGAUGAGGAAACUGAGGUAGAAAACUUAUAGCUGAGAAAACUGAGACACAGGGAGAUUAAGAAACUUGUUUAAUUCACAAAGUUGGUGCUCCAGUUUUCUAUUCCUCCAUAAUAGCAAAAACUUACUGCCUUAAAACAAGUUAGUAUUAUUUCUCUUGGUUCUGUAGGUUGGCUGGGCUCAGCUGGGUGGUUUUUGCUUGAGCUGGCUCAUGUUGUUGUAAUCAGAAGACUGCUGGGGCUGGAGUCAUCUGAAGGGAUGACUGGCCUGGACACCGAAGAUAACGUCUGCAUUCAGAUGUCCAGCACCUCAGCUGGGAUAACUGGAACAGCUGGGGUCUGGCUGGAUAUUUCUCUCUCUCCACACAACCUCUCCACAUGGAUUGGGCUUCCUCAGCCUGGCAGCCUCAGGUGGUGGCUUCCUUCAGAGUGAACAUUCCAAGAGACCAAGGUAGAAGCUGCAAGUCUUAUGACCUGGCCUUGAAAGUCGCACAGCGUCACUUUUGCCUGGUUCUGUUGCUCAAAUGCGAUUCAUAAAGCCAGUCCAGAGUCAUGGGGAGGAUUCUGUAUGAGGUCAUGACUAUCAGAAGCCUAGGUAUGGGUCCAAUUCUAAAUAAUUACUUCAGAUUCAUGGGAAAGAAAACCAGCCAUUCUCAGUAAAGAUGAUCUGCUGCCUAUUCUUUGGUAUGUACUUCUGUAGUGAAGCCUCAGUAAAAUAAAGAAGUCCUAUUAAGAAUCAGUGGUCAUGUCCAAGAAUGCUGUCCUCCACUUGCUGAUAAGGAAAAGUCAAUAGCUUCAGCGGCCCUGCCUUUCAUAUCCAUGAACGCCUAGUGGAUUUAGAGAUAUGAGUUUUGCUUUGUGAUUAUACUACAUACGACCAUGAGUAAGGAUCUCAAGUUGUGUCUACAUGGAGAAAUUACGAGACUCAAAAUGGAUAAAUGAAGAUAUUUAGUCAUUUGUUUGGGACAUGAAGAAAUUUAGAUAUCUUAUGCUGGAUAAUCUUACAAUAAACUUGGACCCUUCUCCAUCCCUUGUGGACUUUAAUCCAUUGGAUAAAAAACUCAUAAGCUUCCUAAAUAAUAAAGAGGUAGUCUUAGAAACAUUAUAUAAAUUAUGCAGUUGAAGUAGUAUUUCUGGUUUUUUCCUUAUUGUAAUUGUAUUGUAAUUGUGGAAAAGAGAGAUGCCUGGAUAGCCAAAUGUCUUUUCAUCCCUUAGGCUAUUUCAAUUUGUGUUAUUGCUUCUAUGCAUAGUCUUAAAGGCCAGCAUUUGCUCUCCUUUUUUAUAUUUUAAAAAACCUCUUUAAUUUAAUUUGAAAGCUGACAUGAAUAUAAUACCAUCAGUAAACACUUAUUCUUUGCUCAGGCAAGCAUCCUUGUUGUUUGGCUGUUUAGUGGAAAGUUGAAACCAGCAGGAUUUGGGUCUGUUAAGGCCAAUUGCUCCAUCCUGCUCCAAUUUCUAACUCUGAAUUUCUCCUUUUUGUCAUGAUGUACCAAACAUUUGGAGUGCACAAAAUUUUCUUCUUAAUAUUGCAAAAUGUUAAUUAAAAAGAUGAAUAUCUGG